rnacentral:lncRNA from 1 species
AUUAUUCUCUGCCAUUCUAAGAGCACAGCCUGUGCGUAAGUGUAGUGAAUGAGAUCCUUCUAUCUAGGGGAAGUGUUGCUCUGCAAUUUUUAGCUAUCUAAUCAGCCAAAGUGCUAAUCCAUACCUGGAUUUUUGAUAGCUUAUUAAUUAGCUAUAAAUUCCUGCGCUGAAUUGCUUCCCCACUCCCCUAAGAAUACAAUUACAUGGCUUGUAGAUGAUAUGUUAUAUGAUACCAUUCCAUUCGAAAACAUUUGCAGAUAUUAACUGCAGAGUAAGAAAAGAAUUGGUCUUAGAAGGCCAUAAAGCCCAGCAAUUAAAAACUAAUUAGAACUGAAACAAUGAGCCUUUUAUUAGAUCCAAGUUCAAAAAAGAUCCAACGGUAAAUUCCAGUGUACUAUUUCAGUCCAAGUGUGAAUCACGACUUGUGGCAUAAAGGGGAAUAAAGCAUUUUCUUUGAGCAGCCACACCCCUUAUGAUUGGCAAUGGAAGAAAGAUUAUGAGAAGGAUGAAAAGGUUGCCCAAGGUGACUUGGCAGCUCCAAGCUUUUGUCUCAGUUUUUCUGUGGGAAAUCGCUGCUUCCUGGGCCUGUACAGCUCCCUCUCACUAUCUCAGCUACCUCACACCAAGCAGACUCUGCUCGCAGUGAAGAUGAAGGUGUUUUGGUGACACUGGCGUGUCACACGUCCUGCAGCCCAGUGGGGUUGCAACGCCUUGCCCUGCCAGCAUACAGCUUACGGUGCUGGCAUUCAGCACACAAGUCCAGGUACGACUGAGUUGCACUGAAAAGUUAGACUGUGCCUUUCCACAUUGCAUGUAGGUUUUUCUUUUCCUUUCUUUAUUAUUUUACACAAACACAUUUUUCUAAUGAAAACUCCAGGUUCACUGACACCGUUCUUUUCACACCAACAUUCUCAGCAGGUAAUCACAUCCAAGUCACCAUCUUACAUUUCUUUUUUUACCAAAAUUUGGUGUCAAAAUCCUUUCUGAGUGACACUCUGCUAGACAAUAGCCAAACCUACCGCGGCACAGACAGCACGCCAUCACCUCGUGCACUCACUGGGCAGAACUGAGUUUGCUGGAGCAAACUUUGUACCCAUCUACAGUGUGAUCAGGAAAAAAAGAUACGAGAACAUUAGAGGAGUGAGAAGAAAGGAAAAAGGCAAACCCUAAGGUCUUCAUCACUGUGUGAAACAACGGAAAAAUGGAAAAGAACAGGCUAUUGACAAAGAGACCCAUUCACACCAAAGGCAGCAAUGAACAAAGGGCAAAUGAAGGUGGAAAAAGAAAGUCACUCACAGAAAAUGUUUUAACUUUGAGGUUAGAAAUAAAUGGUCCUGUGACAUACUUUGGAAAUUCUGUGAUUCUGCAGGAAAGAAAAAAAAAGUCAUUAAAAACUUAAAACUGAACUGAAUUCUUCCCCCUUGGUAGAUGAUCAGCAAUCUAGGACACUACAGUACAGCUUAACUGCAUGCAGACUCCCCUCUUAAUAGCUCGCAUUUAUUUUAAGACAGGCAGUUCCAUUGCCUACUUUUUCUGUGCCUUUACCAGCACUUGGCACAUGGACACAGCAGCUGCCUGAAGCAGGAGUUGGUGAAGCCAUGGCAAUACUGGGAGAAGGGGAAACCAUAGAACAUGACGCAACUUGUAGCUGGUCAUCACUGAGAGCAGCCUGUGUGAGAUUCACUUGGCAGAGCAAGAGCUCUUCCACAUACUGGGACCUUUUUUUAAUUCCUUGCUAUCUAACCUUGCAUAGAGGUUAGACAUUGCUAUUUCAUGCACAGAAUAGUAAACACAUCAUAGAAAAAUUUACCAAGGUAGGCAAUGAAGGGAGGAGAUCAAAGCAUGUAUUAGGUUUAAGCACAUUUUACUAAUACCAACGUGUUCAUGCCUGGAUGCUCCAAGUGACCUGAGUUUCUUCUCACUUCCCAGUGCAGGACACGGGAGGUGUGCUGUAGCGAUGUGCAGAUCCUGUCAGUGGAUGAAUGUACAGCUGAAAAAUACUCUCAGAAAGAGGAAUAGGACUGUUGUGUUAAUGCAAGGCAUAGGAUGAAGUGGAAACAUGAAGCACCAAAUGUUGUGGUCUAUUUUCAGCUCUUAGGAACAAGGGAAUUCUGCGUGUGACAGUCCUCCCCCAUUCAAUCCCACUUCUUCUGACUCCACUACGGUGCUGCUCUGAUCCCUGCAUCCAAAGCCUCAAGCAAAGCACUUCAGAGAAGAUCAGCCUGCAGAAGUGGCACCAAGGUAAUUGUCAGGGGCAUCUCUGUACUGCUAUCCUGGCACAGCUCUGUACUGGUCCUUGCAGCCGCAGUACGGCCAGCGUGGUAAGGAUGUAUAUCACUGUACAGAUGUUAUUUAAAAUAUCAACGAUACCUUGGUCACUCCAAAGUGGAGAGAUGCCCUGGGAGUAGGGUGGGGUAGUGUCAGCAAAACCACCUUUGUUUUUGUACAGCUACCUGAAAAUACAUCAGCACGUCAGCAGAAGUUAGAAGGGCCCAAUGAUGGAUUUACCUAGAACAAUGAUAUUUCAUUGCAGAGCUACAGCAUUUCAAUGUAGAAGUAUACAUGUUUUCAUGCAGAACUACUCCUGUUAGUUCCUAUAGAACAGUAACCCUUCCUACUUGCAGCUUUUUGCAGCAUUUUAAUUGCUAUUGCAUUACAGAGAUGAAGUGUCUGCUGUAUGACUGUAAAUACAGCUGGUAUUGCAGUGCUUGUCAUUGACAGAGAAAAAAAUAUCCAACUAACAUUUGCUAACAUGUUCACUAGCACCAGAAUCCUCUUGAAAUACAUUUACAGGGGGCAAAGCUCAAUACAAAUACACGUGCAGCAGCUGAUACACUUCUUUCAGCCUGAGGCUAUGCAACUUUUACAUAUCAAAUAGCAACAAAUGUUAUCUACAGGCUCGUAAGGGGAGGAGCAGUGAGCAAGCUGAGGCAUUUCAAACACUUUCAGAGAUUACUUUGCAAUAAACUGCACAUGGGCUGGCUCACAGCCAGGAGGAAAUCUUUGUGAGCAAUCAGGAGGAGAUGUGGUGCUGCCACGAGACAUUCAGGGCUGGAAAAGCAAUGCUAACUGGUUGUGCUGAAGGAGUCUCAGACCACUGCUGCCACUCAGAUGUGGCCUCUGCAGAGCCCUGCGUGGCUGGGAUGUGGGCUUGGAUCCAGCCUAGGUCACCUGUGUCACCGCGGUGCCUCCCAGAGCAGUGCAAUAGGGUGAAACCAUUUGGACUUCGAGUCCCGUGGAGUACCUUUGGAACUAAUUCACAGCCCAUGAGGCAGAGACCAUUCUCCAUUCACUUUGCCCUGCAUACCAUGGUGCCUGCAUCCAGAGCUCAGAGAUGCAACAGAAGAUGGUGAAAGGCCAGCAGAUAUCAGAAAAGUAGAAAUUUUUUAUAGAACUUCUACUAUCCAUUGGUACGACACGACACGUAUUCAGCACUGCAAGAGCCAGCCCAAGUUGUUUCUGAUGUACCUUCAGACAUCAAAACUGAAAGAUUUUACUUUAAUAACAGAGAGCUUUGGAACCAACUCCUCUCCCUUUGAAUCCAUAACUUGUUCUCACUACACAUGAAGGUUUUCAGUGUGAUGGCAGCCCCCAGUCUACCCUCACUCAUGUUUUCCCACGUGCCGAGAUGAAGCUUUGACACUCCUCUCCCUCUGCAGAGAGAGCACAGCGUUUACAUUUACAGGAACGGAGCUGUGCUUACAUAACGCUUCAGACAAUGCCAAGUCGAAUGACUGACAGAGGAAAAUCUUCUGUUAAAAAUAUAUUUUUCGUCUUUCCCAGAGAUCUAAUCUAUCUUCUGUGCAUUCCUGACCUUCAGAAAGUAUUUCCAUCUCUCACAUUAAGUAUAGCAAUCCUCUUAACAAGGGAACAUUUUGUUAGAGCUUUAAAUUGGGUUACGUAAAUUAUUUGUAGUUUUGACAGCAGGUUUCUCUUCCGUCCACAAGGACGGACGGCUGUUAGGAGAUUGCUACAAGGUUCAUUUGCAAUCACAGCAAAUAAUCAUCUGAAGGCACUGUUUGGAAUGGGAUCUUACCUAGGGAUACCCGGUACAUUUAGUAAGGUAUAAAAGCUUUUGUAAAAGCAGCAUCUUUGAUAAAUAAUUUGCAGUACAGUAACCUUCACACAAUUUAAAAAACAAAAAAACAACUGAUGUGAAUGGUAAGUUAAAGAAAAAAGAAUAACUUCCAACUCCCAUAAACUUUAGGAGGAACAGAACACAGAUGGGAAAAAAAAUCUAUUUAUCUAUAGAAACAGAGAGAGCACACAGCUCCCUGCCAGCGAGUGCUGCCUGGCACCAAGUGCAUGCCAGCCCCUGAGCUUACCCUUGCUGGCUACAAUGGGAAUCGAGAGCGGUCAGGAUUGGGCGCUUUGCAUCCACUCAAGUACUUGCUCAGAAAAAAAGAGCACAGAAUAGAAAAGUUGUUCAAGAAGUACCAGCACUACCUUUAGCACUGCAUUAGAAGGCUCUGCGACUGAAGAAAGAUAUUUUUCAGUACUCUGUUCCCACUCUUCCUUCUCAGCACCUCUCCUGGUCAGAACAUGUGGAAUGGCAGUGCGGCAUCCCUCCUUCCCUCCUGCAGCCACUGUUCAGGCUGACUGGGGCACUGAGUUUCUAACAGUUGCUUCAGGAGUGGGAAAAGAAGGGCACGAUUUAUAAAUCUGGUCACACUCCUUUUUUUUUUUGUUGUUGUUUUUUUUAAGGUUCCCCGUUAAAUUUGUGAGCAGCUUUAAAGAUAAGAGCAACAAACAAAUUAAGCGAUAUUUUAUUCAAAUUGAAAGCGUUUUGUUUGACUUUGGAACACGGAUCGCUUAAGGGGAAAAUUUAAAGUGGGGAUUUUCGGAUCAAAAUACGGACAUUUCAUUUUAAAAUCUCCUUAAGAGUAUCUCAGAUUUUUCUCCCUAAUGACAAGAGCAGUGAGUUACAAUUCAAGGAAGUUUGGGUAAGUUUUCAUACAAUUUUAAGCAUUAGCAAUUGGGAAAGUCCAGGAAAGCUGCUUUCUACACGGCCCUGUUGGCACUAAAUCCCUCCCCAGCAGCAGGCCAGGCACCACCAAAACCAGCCACCCUUUCUGCAGCGUGAAGGCACUACAAGAAGUGACACUUGAGAUGAGAAAGAGCGCAUGGGUUUGUUAAACCACUCACACACACAUAUGCACAAACACAAGAAGCAUUCUAAAGGUGUUCAGCGGAGGAGGACCUUUACUCACAGGACUGAACAUUUUCCCUGUGAUCUCGCUGUGAAUACUUUACCUUGGUGCUUCUAGUCCUACUGAGACAACUCGUAGCGCUGUAUUGCUUUCGUAUCCCCUCCCCUUCUUUGAUGCUAAACACUUAUUUUCAGCAGUCUUUACAGAACGUCUCCCUAUUAAUUAGCAGUCCAUCUCAUAACACUUUAUCUACAGAGAAUGCAAUGCGUUAGUACUUCUUGGUACAGCCUUGGUUAUUCCUUUGAAUUAUCUGGAGGCAUUAGCUGACUAAAGUACAAUGCUUUCAUUUGCAUAAAAGACCAUCUAUUGCUAUUUUGGUUAUUCUCAAGAGAGAGCUUUUUAAAUGUUAGGUAGAAAGUUCGAUCUUAAUCAUUUGUAACUUUUCUCUCUAAACAUACAGAUCUCAUAGGAGAACACACAGACAUUUAACUUACCAUUAUUGGAGCUAUCUUUUGAAUUCCUCAGUAUCAUUAAUAUUUAAGCAGAAAAGAACAGAGCGAAACAAUUAUCCUAACGACACCACACCAGAACUAACAGAAUGAUUUUUAAGAAGUCAUACAGAACAAGUGAGAAGGUCGACCAGAAAGCGCUAGUCAGGAAUAGCCGCGAUCUGAUGAGGAGGAGGAGGUUAUGUUUCUGUGACACGAGCAGUGCACAGCUGUUACUCUAGUAAUAAUUCAUCAUAUUAAUAUUUAAAUGAGAGGAGGAGGAGGAGGAGGCCAUGAGAUUGUGUGUGACUCAACGGUCCCUCCCUGUCCUUAAGCAGAAAAAUAGGCCACCAAUACGGACAGAGCAUUGGGAGCAACCGAGUGGGAAGGUUUGUUUUCAUUUCCUCUUGAAUAAAAGUGGGCAAACUGGUCCCCGAAUCGGUCUGCCAACUGCACUGCUUUUACUGCUGAAAGCUAAAUGCCUUUUCUGCUUUCAGAAGAAGCCAUUGCCUAAGGACCAAAUUGAUCAGGGAAUUAGUGCUCCGGGUCUGCACGUUGUUUCUAGGAUUUCAGUAUAUUUCCAGAGAGCUUCCCUUCCUGCAAAGAGCUGCCCGUAGGAGCCUUGCCUGACUCAGGGAACUGCAGAACCGCUGCUGUGCUUUGCCGUUUUUCUACAGACUCGGCGAUAAAAACCCUCUCUUCC